rnacentral:rRNA from 1 species
GGGGGGGGGGGGGGGGGGGGGGGGGGGGGGGGGGGGGGGGGGGGGGGGGGGGCGUGCGGGGGGGGGGAGGGGCGGGCGGGGGAGUGAGACGGGAGUGACCUAGCGUUGACUCUGGGAUAGGCCUGGGAAACUGGGGCUAAUACCGGAUACGACCAAUCUCCGCGUGGGGGGGUGGUGGAAAGCGGUAUGGAGUGGUUUUAGAUGGGCUCACGGCCUAUCAGCUUGGUGGUGAGGUAAUGGCUUACCAAGGCGACGACGGGUAGCCGGCCUGAGAGGGUGACCGGCCACACUGGGACUGAGACACGGCCCAGACUCCUACGGGAGGCAGCAGUGGGGAAUAUUGCACAAUGGGCGCAAGCCUGAUGCAGCGACGCCGCGUGAGGGAUGACGGCCUUCGGGUUGUAAACCUCUGUUAGCAUCGAAGAAGCGAAAGUGACGGUAGGUGCAGAGAAAGCGCCGGCUAACUACGUG